GAUGAACGCUAGCGGCAGGCUUAACACAUGCAAGUCGAGGGGUAACAGAGUAGCUUGCUAUUGCUGACGACCGGCGAACGGGUGCGUAACGCGUAUAGAAUCUGCCUUGUACAGGAGGAUAGCCUUUAGAAAUGAAGAUUAAUACUCCAUAAUGUAGAGUUGUGGCAUCACAAUUUUAUUAAAGAUUUAUUGGUACAAGAUGACUAUGCGUCCUAUUAGCUAGAUGGUAAGGUAACGGCUUACCAUGGCAACGAUAGGUAGGGGGUCUGAGAGGAUUAUCCCCCACACUGGUACUGAGACACGGACCAGACUCCUACGGGAGGCAGCAGUGAGGAAUAUUGGUCAAUGGAGGCAACUCUGAACCAGCCAUGCCGCGUGCAGGAAGACUGCCCUAUGGGUUGUAAACUGCUUUUAUA
rnacentral:rRNA from 1 species